UUUCAUCGCGAGCAAGCUCGCUCCCAAAAGGGGGGCUGUCGUGUACACAAAACAGUGUGGGAGCGAGCUCGCUCGCGACAGGG
rnacentral:misc_RNA from 1 species